GAGCGGCGGACGGGUGAGUAAUGUCUGGGAAACUGCCUGAUGGAGGGGGAUAACUACUGGAAACGGUAGCUAAUACCGCAUAACGUCGCAAGACCAAAGAGGGGGACCUUCGGGCCUCUUGCCAUCAGAUGUGCCCAGAUGGGAUUAGCUAGUAGGUGGGGUAAUGGCUCACCUAGGCGACGAUCCCUAGCUGGUCUGAGAGGAUGACCAGCCACACUGGAACUGAGACACGGUCCAGACUCCUACGGGAGGCAGCAGUGGGGAAUAUUGCACAAUGGGCGCAAGCCUGAUGCAGCCAUGCCGCGUGUAUGAAGAAGGCCUUCGGGUUGUAAAGUACUUUCAGCGGGGAGGAAGGCGGUGAGGUUAAUAACCUCAUCGAUUGACGUUACCCGCAGAAGAAGCACCGGCUAACUCCGUGCCAGCAGCCGCGGUAAUACGGAGGGUGCAAGCGUUAAUCGGAAUUACUGGGCGUAAAGCGCACGCAGGCGGUCUGUCAAGUCGGAUGUGAAAUCCCCGGGCUCAACCUGGGAACUGCAUUCGAAACUGGCAGGCUAGAGUCUUGUAGAGG
rnacentral:rRNA from 1 species